rnacentral:rRNA from 1 species
CGCUCGACACCUACGGGAUGCAGCAGUGGGGAAUAUUGCACAAUGGGGGAAACCCUGAUGCAGCGACGCCGCGUGAGCGAAGAAGUAUUUCGGUAUGUAAAGCUCUAUCAGCAGGGAAGAAAUUGACGGUACCUGACUAAGAAGCACCGGCUAAAUACGUGUCAGCAGCCGCGGUAAUCUGAGCGGGCUGGCAAGGC